rnacentral:rRNA from 1 species
GACGAACGCUGGCGGCGUGCUUAACACAUGCAAGUCGAACGGAAAGGCCUGCUUUCCCUUGUGGAUUGCGGGUACUCGAGUGGCGAACGGGUGAGUAACACGUGAGUGAUCUGCCACCAAGUUGGGUAAAAGCCUGGGAUACUGGGUCUAAUUUCCGAUAGGACUGCAGGGUGGUUCCUGUGGUGGAAAACGAUAUUCUAGUGGGUGGGGAUGGGCUCGCGGCCUAUCAGCGUGGUGGUGGGGUAAUGGCCUACCAAGGCGGGGAAGGGUAGCCGGCGGGGGAGGGGGGACGGUGGCAUUGGGACUGGGACACGGCCCCGACUCGUACGGGAGGCAGGAGUGGGGGGUAAUGGACCGUGAGCGGAAGCCUGACGCAGCGACGCUGCGUGGGAGAUGAUGGCCUUCGGGUGGUAAUCUCCUUUCGAGCGAGAGGAAGACACCUGGUUGGAAGGGUGGUGACGGUAGUGGCAGAAGAAGCACCGGCUAACUACGUG